GGAAUAUUGCACAAUGGGGGGAACCCUGAUGCAGCCAUGCCGCGUGAAUGAAGAAGGCCUUCGGGUUGUAAAGUUCUUUCGGUAGCGAGGAAGGUAUCAAAUUUAAUAGAUUUGGUAAUUGACGUUAACUACAGAAGAAGCACCGGCUAACUCCGUGCCAGCAGCCGCGGUAAUACGGAGGGUGCGAGCGUCAAUCGGAAUAACUGGGCGUAAAGGGCACGCAGGCGGUUGAUUAAGUGAGAUGUGAAAGCCCCGAGCUUAACUUGGGAAUUGCAUUUCAUACUGGUCAACUAGAGUACUUUAGGGAGGGGUAGAAUCCCACGUGUAGCGGUGAAAUGCGUAGAGAUGUGGAGGAAUACCGAAGGCGAAGGCAGCCCCUUGGGAAUGUACUGACGCUCAUGCACGAAAGCGUGGGGAGCAAACAGGAUUAGAUACCCGAG
rnacentral:rRNA from 1 species